GACGAACGCUGGCGGCGCGCUUAACACAUGCAAGUCGAGCGAGAACCAGGCUUUCGGGCCUGGGGAAAGCGGCGAACGGGUGAGUAACACGUGGGUUAUCUGCCUCGGCACCGGAAUAGCCCGGGGAAACCCGGAUUAAUGCCGGAUAGCCUCUCGAGCCCUCGGGCUCGUGAGAAAAGGUAGCUUCGGCCUCUGGCCGAGGAGGUGCCCGCGGCGGAUUAGCUUGUUGGCGGGGUAACGGCUCACCAAGGCGACGAUCCGUAGCUGGUCUGAGAGGACGAUCAGCCACACUGGGACCGAGACACGGCCCAGACUCCUACGGGAGGCAGCAGUGGGGAAUCUUGCGCAAUGGGCGAAAGCCUGACGCAGCGACGCCGCGUGCGGGAAGAAGGCCUUCGGGUUGUAAACCGCUUUCAGGAGGGACGAAGCCACUCGGGUUAAUAGCCCAGAGGGUGACGGUACCUCCAGAAGAAGCCCCGGCUAACUACGUGCCAGCCGCCGCCGUAAUAC
rnacentral:rRNA from 1 species